GUAAUAUAGAAUUUCAAUCAAUACUUUGUUCUUUGCAGCGUGGUACAAUUAUUAAUGUUUUUGUAAUACAUAUAGUUCACGACUGAGUUGUUGUAUUUAUUGUAAAGAAAUUAUAUUGUUACACUAUGGCGGACAAGUUUGAUAAUGGUAGUGGAGAUUUUAAAAGAAAUUCUAAUUCAGGGAACGAUCAUGAACAAGAUGGCGAGGAGGGUUCCAAAUUGAAUGAAAAAGCCGGUGAAUACAUGAGGGAUCUCCUUAGCGAGAAAAUAAAACUUCCGACUAAUAAGUUUCCAGUAUCGUGUCGACUUAUUGAUCAAGAAGUUGAAAGACUUCAAGCUUCAGGCAGAAUACCUCUUAGGGACAAUAAGUAUGUGGAUGUAUUCCGUGAAAAACCUGUCAAAGUUACAGUCAAAGUGCUGGUUCCCAUUAAGGAACAUCCAAAGUUUAAUUUUGUUGGAAAGCUGCUUGGACCAAAAGGAAACACAAUGAAACAGUUGCAAGAAGAGACAAUGUGUAAAAUGGCCAUACUUGGGCGGGGUUCUAUGCGUGAUAGGAACAAGGAAGAAGAACUUCGCAACUCCCUGGACCCCAAAUAUGCUCACCUCUCUGAUGAGUUGCAUGUUGAAAUAUCAGCAUUGGCUUCACCUGCGGAGGCACAUGCAAGAAUUGCAUAUGCACUUGCAGAAGUCAAAAAGUACUUGAUUGCAGAUGGUCCUGACAUGAUGCGACCACCAAUGCGUGAAAUGAUGGACAGAGAUCCAGGCUCUCUAAGAGCCCCUCUACUUCAAUUGCCAGAGUACUCGCAGGGAGCUAAGGCAGUCGUAUACAGUGCACGCACCCUUACAAAUCGUUCAGUAUCUUAUCAAGGUCCCGUGACACAAGGAGCACCUCCACCCAUGUCGCGUCCGCCGGCACAGCGAAUGCCGCCGGCGCGUUCCAUGCCUCCGGCCAAAACCAAGGUCUUCAGCAUUUUGGACCGAGCUCGCAACGCCAUGGAGAGCUCUUACGGUUACGAUGACUACUCUAUGCAGGACCACAGUCGUCCACCACCGCCGAACCGACAAGCGCCGGACUCCGAUUAUUACUACGAGAGAGGCGGAGGUUCCGAUCAGUUCUACGAAGAGGACAACUACUAUAAGAGCGAAGAGCCGCGCGAGUACAAAGCGUCGGCUCGCGAAGUGGGCACUCGGAGGUCGGGUCCUCCCGCCACGAGGAACUUCAAUAGGCCCGCGCCUUAUCAGCGACAGCAGAAGUAUGUGUAGACACACUUACUUAUUUUUAUUUUAUUAUGGGUGUCGUUGCCUUCCGGGGCUCCGAGUGCAGGGAGUUGUCAGCAAUGGAAGCUGGAGGUGAAGACAGCAAGUUGUUAUUAGAUCUACUACUCUUAAUUUGGAAAUUAAUAAGAGAUUUAAAAACA